rnacentral:lncRNA from 1 species
GGCGGGAGCGUGGGCCGCCAGACUCGGGAGAGGCUCCGUCUUGUGCAAGGGUCCUGUGGGCUGGCUGCACUGGCCUCUGCGGUGGUGCCUGCCAGAAUGCCCCACUUGGAAAACGUGGUGCUUUGUCGCGAGUCUCAAGUGUCCAUCUUGCAGUCCUUGUUUGGAGAGAGACAUCAUUUCAGCUUUCCAUCCAUUUUUAUUUAUGGACAUACUGCUAGUGGAAAGACCUAUGUAACACAAACGUUGUUGAAAACUUUAGAGGGACUCAGACAGGCACUUAGAAUAUGCUGCCUUUAAAAGUCAUGGAUGGUACAAAUGCCGUAAGCAAGACACUAUUCAUAACAGAGAUGUUGUGGACUUUUGUUCUUAAAGGACAGUAAAGGAGUGAGAGAGAAGUGAGUUAGCAAAUGCUGGUGAAACUGUCCCCAACUCCCACAUGUGUUUGUGAAUUGUGUUGAAUGCUUUACAUUGAGGCUGCUUUUGGAACAAAUUUUAAACAAAUUGAAUCAUCUUAGUUCUUCAGAGGAUGGAUGUUCUACUGAAAUAACCUGUGAAACAUUUAAUGAC